rnacentral:tRNA from 1 species
GCUGUAGCUCAGUGUCAGAGUGCUUGCCUAGCAUGUGUGAGGCACUGGGUUCGAUCCUCAGCAUCGCA